GCGCUUGUAGCUCAGCUGGAUAGAGCAGUGGACUUCGAAUCCAAAGGUCGUAGGUUCGAAUCCUACCAGGCGCGCCA
rnacentral:tRNA from 1 species